rnacentral:rRNA from 1 species
GGUACUUGUACCUGGUGGCGAGCGGCGGACGGGUGAGUAAUGCCUAGGAAUCUGCCUGGUAGUGGGGGAUAACGCUCGGAAACGGACGCUAAUACCGCAUACGUCCUACGGGAGAAAGCAGGGGACCUUCGGGCCUUGCGCUAUCAGAUGAGCCUAGGUCGGAUUAGCUAGUUGGUGAGGUAAUGGCUCACCAAGGCGACGAUCCGUAACUGGUCUGAGAGGAUGAUCAGUCACACUGGAACUGAGACACGGUCCAGACUCCUACGGGAGGCAGCAGUGGGGAAUAUUGGACAAUGGGCGAAAGCCUGAUCCAGCCAUGCCGCGUGUGUGAAGAAGGUCUUCGGAUUGUAAAGCACUUUAAGUUGGGAGGAAGGGCAUUUACCUAAUACGUGAGUGUUUUGACGUUACCGACAGAAUAAGCACCGGCUAACUCUGUGCCAGCAGCCGCGGUAAUACAGAGGGUGCAAGCGUUAAUCGGAAUUACUGGGCGUAAAGCGCGCGUAGGUGGUUUGUUAAGUUGGAUGUGAAAUCCCCGGGCUCAACCUGGGAACUGCAUCCAAAACUGGCAAGCUAGAGUAUGGUAGAGGGUGGUGGAAUUUCCUGUGUAGCGGUGAAAUGCGUAGAUAUAGGAAGGGAACACCGAU